CGGUGGAAGAUGAAACAAAAAACGCCUUCCAGACUCGAGCCUGAAUGACUCCGGGAUUUCAGAUCGUCUGUUACUACGAAAGGAAAGUAGCAACAAGAAUGCCAUGGGAAUGUUAUCAGGCACCAGGAGCCUUCUGAAUUGGCUUCUUUCAUCUGGGGAAUACAGCACACAGGAUGACAACAGCUGACAUUGGGUAAUAUUUUGCUUUAUCAAAAUAUUCUGAAGCAUUGGAUAAAUACAGAACAAGAUAACAAGAGUUCCCGGCAAAGAAGCCAGUAAAGAGGAUUAUGGAUGGAAUUUCUCUAUCUCAUCUCAUCAAAAUGUAUUUUAAGAGAACAAACCCAUGAAAACAAAGAAUAUGGAAAGGUGCCAAAUUCUGGAAACUAAAAGGCAAACAGUCCUGAAGGGAUGCUUCCAAGGAACAUACUUCUGUUUAUAGUUGACCAACAUGUUUCAGUGCCUGAAUUCAUACAAGACCAAGGCUAUAAGAUCAAGGACACAAAGAAGAGUUCCAAGGGCAGAGGAAAAGGAGCCUGUGAGCACAGUGGUACCCAUGGGACCGAGGAGCAUGCUGGAGAAUUGGUUGCCAAAUACAAAAAUGUAAACUUCCUUGAUGAAAUAAAAAACCAAACAAUAAA